rnacentral:ribozyme from 1 species
CAUGCAAAUUCUCAAGAAGACUCACGCUCGUCGCGCUGGCAGGCGGACGGAAGGGGUGCCGAUGGCAAUGCUCGAAUCAAAGAGUUGAGUCGAUUGAAUAGAUCAGAGGAGGCACUUGCACUUCUUCGAAAACAAUUCCAGAUC